AGCGAACGCUGGCGGCAGGCCUAAUACAUGCAAGUCGAACGGCUCUUCGGAGCAGUGGCGGACGGGUGAGUAACACGUGGGAACGUGCCCUUUGGUACGGAACAACUGAGGGAAACUUCAGCUAAUACCGUAUGUGCCCCCAUUCUUAGCGGGAUGGGUGGGAAAGAUUUAUCGCCAUUGGAGCGGCCCGCGUUGGAUUAGCUAGUCGGUGGGGUAAAGGCCCACCAAGGCUACGAUCCAUAGCUGGUCUGAGAGGAUGAUCGGCCACACUGGGACGGAGACACGGCCCAGACUCCUACGGGAGGCAGCAGUAGGGAAUCUUGCGCAAUGGGCGAAAGCCUGACGCAGCCAUGCCGCGUGAAUGAUGAAGGUCUUAGGAUUGUAAAAUUCUUUCACCGGGGAAGAUAAUGACGGUACCCGGAGAAGAAGCCCCGGCUAACUUCGUGCCAGCAGCCGCCGUAA
rnacentral:rRNA from 1 species